rnacentral:lncRNA from 1 species
ACCCAUCAAAGCCCCAAACCUUCACUACCGCCUGCCGCUCGCCGAAAAUUGCUCACGAUGGCGAUCGGCGGCCAAUCACCUCCAAAAUUACACCCUCUACUCUUCUCCACCUCCACAUCCCAAAUCUCCUAGCACCUCAUCUCAAAUCCCACUAGAACGCCUCGAAUAUUAGAAACCCUAGCGCCGCCCUAACUUUCUCUGGUGGCGGCGCCUGACCCAAUCCCUUCCAAAUCAAUAAACAUAACCACCUUGACCCCUUCAUACCUAAUCCACCAUUGGUGUCCCUCAAAUAUGCCUAGAACCCUCAAAUAUCAAGUCUGAGGUUCGAGUUUUAUGUGUCUUCAAGGGUGAUUUAACAUUGGUUGGUUUAAAACGGGGGUCAGUCGAGUUCAAGUUUAAGUUGGUAAGUUUUUCUUUCAAUUUUCUGUCUGUUUUGUUAUCUCACCAUAUAUUACCAUUCUUUUCUUCACCUUUUCUUUAGGUCAUUUCUUCUGUUUGAACUUUCGCAAAGGUCCAAAUCCUGAACCUAGGUUUUCCCCUUUUGAUUGAUUCGUGUUCAUAUUUAUUCUAUCUGCCUUUUAGUUUUCUUUUCAAAUUUUAAAAACCAUUCUCUGAUUUUGUUUAAAUUACUCAUUCUCCAUGCCUAUUUGUUAUAUAAGUUGCUGGUAUUGUCUUUCCUAUUCUAGUCAUAUAAUUGGCUUAAUUAGAUGUUGUUUACAUUUGGUAAUCUACCGUAAUUCUAGUUUAUUUAUAUUAGUUUAAAAAUCAUUCGAGUUUUUAGUUUUGAAAGAAUUCAAGCUGUCUUCUUCUUCUUCUUCUUCUUCUCAGAAAUAGCUAAAAUUGAUUUUUUUGACUUGGUUUGGGAUUUGGGAUCAUUUCAGACCCGUUUUCAAAAGAAGCACUUUCAUUAUGGUUUAGGUAUUGAGUCAGAAUUGACCAAUGUGAUAGGUUGAGGUAAUUAGCAGGGGUGUAAAGGAUAGGUUAGGAAAUUGGCUUAGGGAAUCUUGGGUGUAACAGAUUAGGAAGCUUCCUGGAAGCUGAAAAAAGGACUUACUUAACAAACAAGUCAUAAGUUCAAGGAUUAAGUAGAAAAAAAUAAAAUUGGAGAAGGUUUAAUGGGGCAAAAACUGAAGUUUUUCUGCUGCCCUAGAACCUUACCUAUAAAGGCACCAAAACUUGACAUUCAAGUCAGACUUGAAGGAUAUUUUAGAAGAGAAAAAUAGAGAAAAAAAUCUGAGAAUAAAAAGAUAGCUAAGAAAUUUCAAUAAAAUUACCAUUCCAUUGAGUUUCUUCUGAGGUUUCUGAAGUUUUAAUUUCUAAUACAAUUCUGAGUCAUCUCAGGCUGAAAAUAAGUUGAAUUCUGGAUAUUUUAAAGCUGGUUUGAGUUUACUAUUUGGGAAAUAGUUUUAUAUUAUUGGGUUGAGUCAAUUUCUGCUGCUAUUUCUCCUGUUGAAUCACCGCUCCUGCUGUUUAUUGCUGUUGAUGUUUUCUCUUGAAUCUUCAAUUUGGUUUUUGAUUCAGUUUUUGCUGUAUUCAGGUAUGUACUGACUCCUGAAUAACAUGUGAAAUGCAAAUAUGAAAGUCAUGUAACCAAGCUUGAGGAGAAAUGAUAAUUGCUACGUGUUUCUUUGUCAAAUGACUGCUAGAGUUUAUUAUACUUUCUUCCUGUGUUCUUCUGUUUGGUUCGUCAUGUAUUGUCAUUUAUAUCAUUAAUGUUGUAUUUCAUUUUAAGGUUUGGAUUUGAGUUUCCUUGAAUGUAGUGAUUUGGGACUGUUUGGACCAUUAAUGUGUUAUUGAUUAACGACUAUGGC